rfam:Glossina morsitans morsitans, isolate Yale, WGS project CCAG01000000 data, contig: ctg10001343
AUUACAAGACAGUCCUUCAAUUGGCAAUUUAGCUGUUUUUUUAUUGUUAGCUGCCUUCUGAAGGGCUUCCUUGUAAU